GUGCUCACUUGGGCAGCACAUAUACUAAAAUUGGAAUGAUACAGAGAAGAUUAGCAUGGCCCCUGCACAAGGAUGACACACAAAUUCAUGAAGCAUUCCAUAUUUUU
ensembl:snRNA U6 U6 spliceosomal RNA